rnacentral:rRNA from 1 species
UGGGGAAUAUUGCACAAUGGGGGAAACCCUGAUGCAGCAAUGCCGCGUGUGUGAAGAAGGCCUGCGGGUUGUAAAGCACUUUCAGUAAGGAGGAAAAGUAUGUAGUUAAUAACUGCAUACCGUGACGUUACUUACAGAAGAAGCACCGGCUAACUCCGUGCCAGCAGCCGCGGUAAUACGGAGGGUGCGAGCGUUAAUCGGAAUUACUGGGCGUAAAGCGUGCGUAGGCGGCAUGGUCAGUCGGAUGUGAAAGCCCCGGGCUUAACCUGGGAAUUGCAUUCGAUACUGCCAAGCUAGAGUAUGUUAGAGGAAAGUGGAAUUCCCGGUGUAGCGGUGAAAUGCGUAGAUAU